UGAAAUAUAUUUUUAUCGAAAAGUGCAACGAUCGUUUUAUAAAUUUCUCGAGAAAAAAACGACAUGGUUUGUGUCGAAAUUUUUUCUUGCACAGAACACGUUUCUAAGCGUAAUUGACUUAUGCAUAGAAAACCAAAAUCAAUAUAGAUAAUAUGUUAAUGUAAUAUAAAACCGAAUCUAUACUUAGGCAAGUUAGACACUGACGGUCAUGAGUUUUCAUGAUAUUCUAAUAAUCAUAGGUGGUAAAAUCGAUGAAUAAUGUCAGUUGAUCUGAACACGAAUAGAAAAUCGAUUUUUGUGAUCAGGAAUAUUAUAUUAUGUAUUAGAACUAAUGUAUUUAUUUUCAUUAUUCAUUAAUGCGUGUUAGGUGUUCAUCAGUGUAAUAACACAGUCCAGAUUUUUAGGUUUUUACAUAUCUUCAUUACAGUUUCAUAGGAGUGAAAAAUGUAGGGCGUUCAUUUGGAUACAGAGUUCGCAGAUGAAAGUUUUUCUUGCAUGUUUGAAAAUAUUUCAGGGGCUGGGGAGUAUUUCGUUUUUUUAGAUUCGGAUUAAAGGAGUUCGGGGUAGGCAAUUUCCUAAGUGCCAAGUGAACACAAGUCGUGUUAUAGAUGUGUGCGAAUUAAGUGAUUAUGAUUAUAGUGCGUAUUAUUAUCAUUAUUUUUUUUUCUAUUUUUUAUUACUUAUACAAUCACAAUCAGUGUAGUUGAAGGUAUAGGUAUACCUAUGUGUGUAUCUGAGUUUCGUUGAGUUAUCCACAUUCUUUCAUAAUUAUUUAUAAAAAUCGUUGUGUUUAUUUAUAAUAAUAUGUUGGUGGUUUCGCAGACACUUUGUGCAAAUACAGUCAGUCUAAUUAUUUUUUUCUCUCGGGUUGCAAUACCUAAACGCAGCACAACGUUUAUAACUUUAUAUUAUGUCCAUACCGUUCAUAAUUGACCAUGUAAGACAAAAGUGUUGAUUCUCCUAGACCUGAAGCCAUGGAUGUCAGUGCUACACCGAUGGCUGCAACUAGUUCAGUAUUCGCUCUUGCCACAGUUAUAA